GUCUUUUUGAAAUUGAAUUUAAAGUCUAAUCUGCCCACUGAUUAUUAUUAAAUGGCCGCAGUAUAUUAACUGUGCAAAGGUAGCAUAAUCAUUAGUCUUUUAAUUGAAGGCUGGUAUGAAUGAUUGGACGAGAUAUAAACUGUCUCAAUUAUAUAAAUUAGAAUUUUAUUUUUUAGUUAAAAAGCUAAAAUUUAUUUAAAAGACGAGAAGACCCUAUAGAUCUUUAUAUUAUAAAUAUUAUUUUUUAUUAGUUAUUUUUAAAAAAAAUAUUGAAAAAUAUUUUGUUGGGGUGACAUUGAAAUUUAAUUAACUUUCAUUAAUUAUUAACCAUAAAUUUAUGAUUAUUUGAUCCUUUAUUAUAGAUUAAAAAUUUAAGUUACCUUAGGGAUAACAGCGUAAUUAUUUUAGAGAGUUCUUAUCGAUAAAAUAGAUUGCGACCUCGAUGUUGGAUUAAGAUUAAUUUUGGGCGCAGCCGUUCAAUUUAUUAAGUCUGUUCGACUUUUAAUUUCUU
rnacentral:rRNA from 1 species